UGCAGAUGGAGUACCCAAAGAUUCCAAUAUGGUAGCUACUGUGAAAAUUGGGUUUGUAAAGGAUGCUAAAUCCCAUAUUGAUGUUCAAGGGUUUAAUGUCUAUCACAAAAAUAGACUUAUUAAGCCAUUUUGGAGGCUUUGGCAUGCUCCUGGAAGUGACGGGCGUGGAGUUAUAGGUGUAUUGGAAGCCAAUUUUGUUGAACCAGCACAUGACAAGCAAGGGUUUGAGCGUACAACAGUUCUUUCAAGACUUGAAGCACGAUUAGUGCAGAUGCAGAAAACUUACUGGUCAACACUUUGUCACAAAAUUGGGUAUGCUCCUAGGCGGAAUAAAAAAGCUAUUGCACGAGAGGAUUCUCCUGAUUAUCCUUCUUCAGCAUCGCAACCAAAACAUAAUAGUUCUGCAAAGUCAUCUGAGAAGAUUUAUCCUUCUUUAGCAUCGCAAUCAAAA
rnacentral:misc_RNA from 1 species